rnacentral:tRNA from 1 species
GGAGUUGGUAGCUCAGUGGUAGAGUGCUUUGUAUGAUGUCCUGGGUUCAAUCCCCAGCUUCUCCC